AAAGGUAAGAGGAGUGUCCGACUGAAGGAGAUUCUCCAAGGCUGGGUCAGCUUACACAAGAGGAUUACGGAGCAAAAGUGAAUUUCCUACUCCAGCAUGCAGGCUUGAUGGCGCACCCUUGAACGCAAUUUUAGUGAGUACCCUUUCUGGGAAGAUACAGGCUGGAUAUGGGAUAGAAGUUGGGACAGGUUUCAGGGACAGCUCAUUCAUUUCUAAGUCCCUUUUGCAGUGCUCAAACAACAAACAGGCAUGGCCUCUGUGGGCGAGCCCUGGAGAAGGAGGAUCCUAGCCGGUAGAAUGCAGGUUUGCUAAGUCCCUCCUUGCUGUAGUACUCUGUCUGGACACAAGAGGGCAGGCGUUCUUUUGUAAAUGAGUGACUGAGAACCUCUCAUUGCAGAGUAAGGGUCCUUAAGAAGCCAGAGGGUAGUAAAAUACAGCCUGCCUAGAGUUCUCGAACAGCAAAAACAAAGUGAUGAAUUGGGUUGCAAAAGCUACUCGAGGAGGGUGACUCUAUAUUGUCGAGCUUAAAAACAGCAAGCAAAACAUUAAAGGAGGAUACCAAGUCCCCAUGCUUGGCCAUAAAGGGAAACGUCGUUCCUGUCGAUCCUAACCUCGCUGCCAUCCCAAAGGUAGCUCUGGAAGGCAGAUCAUUCUCAGUUAAGGGGAAAAGGAGAAAUGCCACGUUCUAUAACGCCCGCCCUCAGAUAGCAUCCCAUGGUAACUUUGUUGCUGAGAUUAAGACGCAGUCUUUUUUCAGUAAACAAAGCCCACCUUGAUAAGGGCCAAGUAAGGAAGCAGGGAAAGGCACCGGCCGCCAAGCCUGACAAGCUGAGCUCUGUCCCUGAAACCCACUCCUGACCUCCACAUGUGUGUUAUGACAUGCACAUACACAUAUACUACACACACACACACACACACACUGGAUUUCACUAAAACACAAGGAGCCCAAACGUCGAGACUGGAAGCAGUCUGUGAUCAACAAUGCAUUUACCUCAAAGAUGCUACACCCUAUCACAAGGACAGGUGCUCUACUCUAUUCAUAGCAGCUUUAUUCAUAAUAGCCAGAAUGGAAGAAUGAAUAAGAAAAUGUGGUACAUCUACACAAUGGAAUACUACUCAGCUAUUAAAAACAAGGACAUCGUGAAAUUUGCAGGCAAAUGGAUGGAAAUAGAAAAUAUCAUCCUGAGUGAGGUAACCCAGACCCACAAGGACACGCACGUUAUGUACUCUCUGAUAAGUGGAUAUUAGUCAUACAAUACCCUGGAUCUAUCCCACAGUCCCAACGAAGCUAAACAAGAAGGAAGGUCCAAGUCAGGAUGCUUGGAUCUCACUUAGAAGAGGGAAUAAAAUAAUCAUGGGAGGCAGAGGUAUGGAAGGAACUGAGUGAGAGAAAGAUGGGGAGGGGAAUGGGGGUGUUCAGGAUCAGAUGUGGGGAGACAGGAGAGAGUCCCAGGGGGCCAGGAGAGUGAAUGUAAAUUGGUGGCUGGCAGGGUUGGGGGGCAUCUGUAGAAUGUGCCAGACACCUGGAAUGGGGGAGGCUCCCUGGAGCCUAUGGGCAGGGUGACUUUAGUUGAGAUUCAUGGAACCUUAAGUGGCCACCUCCAGUAGCCAGGUAGAACCCCCAGUGGAGGGAUGGGGACCCCAAUACACCCACAAAACUUUUUACCCCAAAUUUUUCCUGUCAACAAGAAAUGCAGGGACAGAAAUGGAGCAGAGGCUGAGGGAAUGGCCAACCAAUGACCGGCCCAACUUGAGACCCAUCCCAUGGGCAAGCACCAGUCCCUGACACUAUUAAUUAUACUCUGUUGUGCUUGCAGACAGGAGCCUAGCAUAACUGUCCUCUGAGAGACUCCACCCAGCAGCUGACUGCAACAGAUGCAGAGACCCACAGCCAAACAGUGGACAGAGCUGGGACUCUUAUGGAAGUGUGAGAGGGAAAAGAUUGAGGGCCCUGAAGGGGACAGGAACUCCACAGGAAGACCACCAGAGUCAACUCCCUUGAACUCUUGGGGCUCUCAGAGACUGAACCACCAACUAAAGUGCAUACCUGAGUUGGAUUCAGGUCCACACCACACAUAUGUAGCAGAUGUGCAACUUGGUCUUCAUGCAGGUCUCCCAAUAACUGCAGCGGGGACUGUCCCUAGAACUGUUGUUUAUCUGUGGAUUCUGUUUCCCUGGCUGGGCUGCCUCAGUGGGAGAGGUUAGCCUAGCCCUACAGAGACUUGAUGUGCCAGAGUGGGGGUGGGGUCGGGGGAGCCCCACCCUCUCAGAGGACAGGGAAAGAGGGUAUGGGGGAGGGACUGUGUGAGAGAGGAGAUGGAGGGGGCAGCAAUCAGAAUGUAAAGUGAAUAAUUAAUAAAUAAGAGUAUGUGUCC
rnacentral:lncRNA from 1 species